rnacentral:lncRNA from 1 species
AGCUCCUUCAACUCGUUCUGUCCGGUGAGGAGUGAUCCAGCUUGGGCUGACGAGAGGCUCCGGAGCCUUCACGUUCAGUGCUUUUUACCUGCCAAUCAAACUGCUACAAGACAACACCCUGAUCUGGCAUGGUCGCGCGCAUCGAACCUAGAAAUUGUACUCUCCUCAAUCCGCUUAAGAGAAUCUGGCUGAUGGCUUUGGUCUGAGAGUUCAGACAUCUCUUGUGCAGCUAAGAAAGACCUCAUUUUCCAUUUGCUGGAUCCUCCUGGUUUGUCAUCCCUGAAUCCUGUAAGAAGGUCAUCAGGAGGUCCCCUGCGCUAGAAGGACCAUGUGAGUUCAUCCCAGAUGAUGGGUGGCACCAUGGUUUUAGCAGCUCACACAGUGGAGAACCACAUUCGCUCUGGAAGAGCUUGGCAACAUGUAUUUGGUAACAGAACAAGGGACAAGGUCUCAUGUAGCUACAGCUGACCUAGAACUUCCUGUCUAUCAACAACUCACUACUUAGCCAAACUUAACCCAGAGCUUCUUGCUGAUCCUUAUGUCUCUACUUCACAGUCUCCUGGCUUAAUUCUGUGCUGGAUAUCAAACCCGGAAUUUCUUUUUCUUUCUCUUUUUUUGAGGGGGUCC